rfam:Microgenomates bacterium GW2011_GWC1_39_7 TT57_C0064, whole genome shotgun sequence.
GCCCCCGUAGCUUAACGGAUAAAGCAGGCCCGUCCUAAGGGCAAGACUGGAGGUUCGAUUCCUCUCGGGGGUA